rnacentral:rRNA from 1 species
GGAUUGACGCAUCGGUCGUGCCUUAAGGGGUAUGAACUGGUGUAGUCAAUUUCUCACCUUCUGGAGAACCGCGAUGUCCUUAAUUGGGUGCCGCGAGGAACCAGGACCUUUACUUUGAAAAAAUUAGAGUGUUUAAAGCAGGCAUUUUUGCUUGAAUACAUUAGCAUGGAAUAAUAAAAUAGGACGGCAUGAUUCUAUUUCGUUGGUUUCUAGGAUUGACGUA